AAGAAUUUAAAGAGUGCACUUCAUUGUGGCUCGACAUUUUCUACCAUUCACCCUAGUGCACCGUAAUACCUUUUUUUAUUAGACUCUACAAAGUUAAUGAGUGUAACACUUUUUUAUAAAGAAAUA
rnacentral:misc_RNA from 1 species